UCAAAUUCAAAUUACUUCUAGCCCAUAUAGUUCUAAACCUAAAAUGUUUCCGCUGGUACAGUAUGUACUUAACCAUUGUCAUGACCACAAACAUGUGAAUGCUUAAAGCUUCUGUGUGUAACAUGCAGCUUAAUACCAUGGGCAUUGUUUUCAGUGCUUCUCUGUUCUAGCUCCCAAACUCUAGGCUUUGGACCUGUCAAGCUAGCAUGCUGUUAGCUUUCUAGAGGGCCUAAUUAAUUAUAAAAAAUAUUCUGGGCAGUUCAACGUAGCAAUUAAAAAGGGAAUCAAAAUUGCUAUAGAGAAUGCUUGAGAAAUUAAUGUUUUACAGUACUAUGCCUUAUCAGUUACUGUCAAAUCAGAUAAUUUGGUAUUGACUAUUUAACAGUAUGCUUAAAAACCCAUGUAAAACUAAGGAAUUGGUGUAUGUACAGUAACUUCCCCCUCAGUUGAUUUAAAAUUUGAUUGCCCUGCCCAGCUACUGAAAUUUAAUGAGUGGGGUAAGUUUUUUAAAUUCUCCUUAUUUCAGACUGGAAACAGCACCAACAAAAACUAAAAAACAAAACAAAACCACUUUACUGGCGUUUUGAAAUAAUUUCUAAGAAUAUAAAUUGUUUUCAUGACUGCCUGAAAUUCUGAACCAUUUGUUUCCACUUCUAGCCAAACAGUCUAAAUUGAGACAUUAUAUUGAAGUUGGUACACCUCUCUUCACCUACCUUUUAUACUUGGACAGGAAAGUAGGGAAAAUAUUUUUUUAAAGCUAGCAGCUUAUUCAUGAACUAUACAAGAAUGGUGAUAAUGUAUAGAAAACAAAUAGUGAGACACAUGACCGUUUCCAGUGGGGUGUUUAUGUAAAUAGUGGUUUUAAGUUAGAGUACUUUCCCUUUUUAUUAUAUACAGUAAUUAUGAAAGUUUUCAUAAUUCAUUAGCUUAUACGGGAAAUUAGUUUGCCAUAUGGUUAUAGAGAAUCAUGUGAUCACAAAAAUGAAUUUGAACCACAUGAUCAUGAAUAAUAUUUUAGUACAAUAAGUUAGUGGAUAUGUCGAAUUCUUAACUCUGAUCUGCAGACAAGCAGAACCUGUAAAUGUGUUAUUGUUCAAUGAUUUUUUUUGACCUCUAGUAAGUGUUUUUAUGCCAAGUGACUAUGUAGUAAUAAACUUCUAAAAUACAAUAUCUACCCCCAAAAUAGUUUGUUACAUGGUUACAAUCCAAAAGUAGCAGAAAACCUGAGUCUUGUCACGUGGCCUGAGACGCACAAAACUCUCACAUAACCAGUCCCACUGAAGAAGACUACACUUGUGAGUACAGUUUUAUAGGAUUGAGUCCAUGAUCCCCUCAAUUCAGUAAAGAUGGCAAGAUCAGGAUUCAAUAUGGGUUUCUAGUUUUCCUUAUGUUUCAUUCCAAAGUGCUGUCAAUAUACUGCUUUCUUUCAGACCCUACCUUAAACCUUAGCUUUUGAAAGCUGUUUUCCUAAUCUGAUGUGUGCUGUUUCUGCCUAAAUACCUUUAUGAAGUUGUUACAGUUAGCAGAGAAAACAGGUCUUGUCAGAAGUGAACAUUUCAAGAAGUUAUCCCCCCUUUUUUUAAAAAAUAUUAUAGUGUCUUAUGAAAAGGCCAACUGUUUCUGGUCUAGCAGUAAAUUGAAAUGAUUUGCCAGUAAUCAAUGUAGCUCUAAUUCAAAGAGCUGCUUUCUGAAGAUCCUGCUCGUAGAUUUAGAUAGUGGUAAAGCACUGAGUGUAUUUAAAAUAAUUUAAAUACAAAGGGGUGAAAUAUUAAAUAGUUUUCACUUAUAUAAAGUGUAGAUAAUAUUGCCAAGUUCUAACCUAUUCCUUAUUUUGUAUUGAAGGGCCAAAUUAUACUGAUCUGUCAUUUAAUAAUUGAAUAAUAAUAUAAUGAUUCAUAGAUGCUUAUGUGCAUAAGAGGUGGUAAUACUGUACUAAACCAAUUACCGGUAAGUACAAUGCAAAGAUUAGACUGGAAACGGGGGGGGGGAGCCCCAAAGGAGCAGAUUUAAGUGUUUUUCACAUUUGCAUGUACAUGUCUGAAGAGAGGAGGUGUAGGGAUAGUUUAGUUUCAUUUUGCAUCAAAAUGUUUGUUGCUCCUGCUGACUUUCACUUUUAAAAUACAGCUGGAUAUACUCAACUCUUAACUGAAUUUCAAUCCUUAAUAUACGUUUUAUUUUGUUCAGGGAUUGCAAUUUGCUUAAAAUCAUUAAUGUAUUAAAUGCAGUGCAUUUUGACCUAAAAACUUGUCCCAGAUUUCAUUCACAAGGCUAAACUAUUUAAUUUUUUUGAAUAUUUAAUCCCAGUUCACUAAAGUGUACAGGUAUUAGGUGCUUCAUAAAACUACACUGACCUUUGAAUUCUACAGUGAAUUAGUAUCCACAUCUUAAACUCUGUAUUACAACCAGACUAAAUUCCUUCUAAGACAUCACACUGCUUUAGAUUUUUCAUUAGACUCAACAUCAGUUUUAUUUUUUUCUGAAAUUGAGAAAAUAUGCUGUAGUAUGACAAAUUAAAUUUUGUAUAUUAAGGAAGUCAUGUUAAAUUGAUGUGUGAGUGUGCUGGAUUAUGCAGGGCUUGAAGUUUUUGGUAUUAAGGUAUUCUGAAAGUGCUAUCAAAUAUAGUUAUAGAAAUACAAAAUGGCUUUCAUGGCUAGUGUUACAUUUUUUGCACUGACCCAUUAUGUAAUACUACUGUAGUAAUGUAAGAUUGUCUUUCAGUAAAUUAACUGAGUUGUUCUAAUUGGCUUUCCCUUAAAGCUAAAUUGAAUUUGCCAUUUAAAAUUCUCUCAUUCUGAAACGUAAAUUUUUUAAAUAUUCCUUCAUACUUAUAAUUUCUAGCCCUGUGACAGAAUCAAAGAAGCUCUUGAUUUGUCUUGAAUUUUUUUUGUUUCUUAAAGGGGUUGUGUUUUCAUACUACCUUUUUAAUAAACAAACUUAUAAACAAGCCAGUCUUUGCUUCUCUGAUCAGUGUUUGAAAGAAUGUAUUUAGGCUAAUUUCUCAUUCCAUUUGUUAUGUAAGCUUUUUGUUGAUAAGACAGCAUGAAUGAAUAUUUAUAACUUGUGGUUGCACAGUAAUUUUAAUGCAUGUAUACAUAUAUACUGAUAUUUUAGAGCCAGACUUUGUAUCUCUGGUAAGGUUACUUUACAAUACUAUAUAUUUUUUUCUCUCAGUACUAUAAAAGAUUCUGAAGAUGGAUGGGCAGACUGAAACCAAACUUCAUUCCACCCUGUCAUAUUUCAGUUUCUGCUGGAUAACUCGCAUCAAGAUGACAGGGUAGAAAGUGUUUAGGACAGAGAAAGUUAAGCAAGCAACUUAACUAUUGUAUUCUGUUGAACAGAUGCUUUUUGUUGUACCCACAUACAUGGCUAUAGCCAUCACUUCAGAAGGACCAGAAAACAGAGGGAUGUAAGGUCGGAUAGGAGAAAGGGAAAAUGGAAAAUAGGGCAUCUUAGGUGCCACUCCCAGCAACCUUUCCUCUUCAAUGUUGAAUACAAUCUAUGUAAAUGACUUCAAGUAUGUCUGACCUUUUGUAAGAAGGUAACAUUUUUGACUCUGGUCAUGUACCCAGUGGUUCUUUGCCACGUUUCUUUUUACUAGGAACUAUUCUUCAAUGCAGAUAUUGUCUCCUUGAUUGUGUACACAUUGUGAACAAAAUCCUAUUUUUAAAAGCCUAUUUUCCUCAUUCCUGAAACCUCCUAACCCGGUUGACUUGUUGGAGUGCAUUUCAUGCAUUCUUAGUAACAAGGUUGAAGGAAACGCCUAGCUCAGUCACAGCUAGGGAGUUCAUGCACACUCCCUACAUUCUGCUGCAAAGUGCAGUACGUCCAUGCUGGGAAAGGAUCACAGACUUCACUGAAUGUCACAGCAUGACUGUUCAGAGUGUUGAUAGUCUCCCAGUGUGGAUCAAUUGAAGGCAGUAAAAUAAGGCACGGCUAGUUACUGAAGAUGGAAGCAGAAAGGAAAAACUCGCCAACACUGAGUAAAAGCAAACAGCCUGUGAAAACAGAAUGGGGGUCUCAGAGUGUUGUAUUUACUUACUUUCAAGGGGACCUUAACAGUGUGAUAGAUGAACACUUUUCUAGAGCAUUAAGCAAUGCCAAGAACCCACAAGAUCUGAGCACAAAGCACAAGAGUGAGGAUGUUAUCCUGAAGAAUGAUAGCCACAUGCCUCCCCAUCAGUGGAAUUUCUCUUCUCAUUGGACCAAGUCAUAUCAAUCAUCUCCUGCUACAAACCUAUCAAAUUCUGAUCUGAAUUUGUUGGCUGCUGCUACAGACCACCAUCAGGCAUCAGUUCUGCGGAAUCCUCCUAUUCAGCCUGCAGAUUUGUGGCACUUCCCUUCGAUAGCUAAUCCAAGUCUUACUGAUUCAGGAUAUCCUCGCUCCUUGCCUGACCCUCCUAUGGUGCAGGGACCAAUGUCUGAUGGGAAAUAUGGUUCUCUUCUUGAUUUUCUGCAACAGGAAAGGUGCCCAGCAUCUAGCCAGGAAUCUACCGUGAAGCAAAGCUCUAGCUCAGCCUGUAUUACUGGAUCAGCUAGGUUACAAAAUAUGAGUCAAAGUUUAACUCCCGGGGGAGGGCUGACUUGAUUUGCAAGAGAGAGAUACGUAUUCAGUUGACCCUUUACAUAGAAACUACAUGUGUUUAGCACAAUAAGCAAUACACAUUAAUCAAUAUCACACCCCAAUAAUGUCCCUUUUAUAGCAAGCUAAAAUGAUACAAGAGACAAGGUCAUAAGUUAACAAUUCAAAGCCCGUGGCUGAAAGUAUUUUUAACGGAGCAUCAAUGAAACGUACUGUAGUACUUGGGAAUUGUGUAUUUGCUGCAUAGUGUAGCACCAUAAUUGUUUCCUCGAAAGUUUCUUGCACAGCUCUUUCCCCUCUGUUAUGUUGAGGAGAUACCAAAUAUGUAAGUAAGCUAUAAUAUAUUCAGAACACACACAAAUGAUUGCGCGCCCCUACCUCUUACAUAUCACUUUUCACCAGUAGACCUCAAAGUGUGUAACAAACAGCUGGGUGUGUGCUGGGUGCUCAGAGUCUGGCUAUAAAUGGAGUGGAAUGUUUAGAUAUUAUUUGAGCAAUCUGACACUUGUGAUUUCAGUUACUGUAUAUGGGGUAUAAUUAAUGCUUAUACAGCACCCAUUAAAAAAAUGUCCAUGUGCCUAACUUUUUUCCCUUCCCCAGUUUCUGAUUGUUACAACAACAAUUGGGGUAAAAGGCUGGUUCUUGAGCCAUGCUUGUCUCCUAGCCAGACCCAGGAAAUGGCACUAAUAUUCACUUCAAACACUACUGAAUAAAUAUUUAACAUGAUGUUCAGUACACUCUAUAGACAGGGUGUAAUUCACACUAUGGCUAUAACCGUUCCUUGCUGAAAGGGGUUAAGUCCAGGGGUUAAGACACUAGGAUUUAGAAGACCUGGGUUCAAGUCCCUGCUCUGCCACAGCCUUCCUGUGACACCUUGAACAAGUCACUUAGUCUCUCUGUUCCUAUCUGUAAAAUGGGGUUGAUAGCACUGCUAUGCUCCCAGAGCAGACAUGAGGAUAAAAAUACAUGAAAGACUGUGAGGCACUCCAAUGCUAUGGUGAUGGGGGCCAGAGACGUACGACAGAACAGCUUCAGACAAACUCAGCCAACAGAGAAAUCUGGUAGUUAGUUAUUUGUAACAUGGUUGCAACCAUAGGUGAUCCCAUUCAGAUAGGCACCAGUCACUGAACAAAAAGAUGAUCCCUGCCCUAAGGAGCUUAGUGACUAAAAUUUACACCAUUCAGGGACCCAUGAGAGAUGAUUUUAGUCCAUUUCCCUGGCGCCCACAUCGCAAAAUCAGCCACUGCAGUUGGGACUAAUUGGCACCAUUAUGAGUCUGUCCCACCUAGGACUGAACAGACAUGGACCCUAAAGUUCUCCCCUUAAUGUCCCUCCGGGCUAGGUUGGACACACUGGUGGGGAUGCUGGCACUGCUGCUACCUAUGCCAUCCCUGUUCUCUGGGUUAAUACAGGACUCCUCCAGCCAGGGCUGUCAACCUGGCCCUUUCUCCCCAUUAAUUUCACAAGAAAAUGGUUUUUAAAACUCCUUAAAAGAGACACUGUGGAACAUGUAGCACAUCUAGCAUGGGCCGGACAGCUGAAUGUCCAUAGCUGGAAGGGGCAAUGAUAUAUCAACAUAGCAAUUUAGAGUAGAAGGUGUUUUUAAAAAUACCCAGCCAUGAAUAUAAACAGGUGAACGCUCCGCCUCCCAUUUGCCUGGACAGGCUGCCAUCCCAGCUCUGCUAAGGGUUCCAGCAUUGCUAAAGUUAGUGGAGCUGAAAAGGAGAAAUGAGAUUCUCAAGUCAGACUGCGGAGAGUCUUUGUUCUCAGACCGCAGAUGGAACACGCAGUGUGGGUUUUUGCAACUGAGAUUUUUUGCUUUAGGUCCAUUAAUAGACGGAUUUAGCUUUGUGUUUACAUUGCACGUGUCUUUCCUAGAUUUCUCCUUGCAGGGUGUAAUGUUUGCCAUUGUUAAUAUUUGCAAAUACGAAGUGAUGUUCUUACUACAUUAAAGAUGUGCUCUGGACCUAUGGAAUUCUAAUUAAGGCCUGGCAGUGUGGGUCUGGGUAUUAAAGCCUAUGGAACUCACUCUUGCACUAACAGGAAGCAUUUCAUGAAGUCUGGGUGAGCAAGCAUAGGACCAGGACAGAGAAGCAAUACUGCUAACACCAGAGCUGGUUGAAACUUUAAAAAUCAAAAGGUCAGGGGAAAAACUGUUGGGGCGGGGGGAAAAGGUUGCUAUUUUCCAACUACUGCCUUCCCUUUGACGAUCUCACAAGGCUUUAAUAUGUUUGAAAAGCUCUAACAGCGCUGUGAAGUACACCACUGUGCAGAUGGGCAAUCUGCAGCACAGAAAAAUGAAGUUACUUGCUCAAGUUCACACAGUGAGUCAUUACAGCUCUGGGAUGUGUGCAGCUCCUCCCCUGGCAGUCUAUAAUCAGGCCACAAGAAUUCUUACUUCUAGUUCUUGGCUCUAACUGAGAGAGGAUACUUCUCAAUGCACUAGGGAUGUUUUUCUAGAACUGCUAAUGUUUACAUUUAUAAAAGCACAUAAUGCCAUGCAAUGGUCCUGCAACACCUGUGCCAAAAGCUGGGUUGCAAAAGCACAAUGUUUCGUGUACGCACUACUGCCUGUGUGUUCUACUUUUAGUGUUGUGUCACUCCAGCUUAUGACAUUUUUUCCCCUUAAAAUUAAGAAAGGAAAGCCAGCUCCUAUCAAAGCCCAGGAAACCCCAGCAUCAGUCUUGCCAGUUCAGGUGUCCAGUCUCACGAUAGAAGACGAGACUUACACUUUUAGCCAAUGGACGUUUCUGCUUUAUGCCUGGAGAGUUCUUUUCAUGAACUUUUAUAAUUUGCAGUUGUGAAUCAGGAGGAAAUAGACCACAGCUAUUCUGUGUUUUUUUCACCAGCCAGUUGCAUGUCUACACAUGCUAAUAUGCUAUUUUGUAAAUGAGAGUGAUUUACAUCUAAGUAAAUAACUUCCAGCCUA